rnacentral:rRNA from 1 species
UACGUAGGGUGCGAGCGUUAUUCGGAAUUAUUGGGCGUAAAGGGCGCGUAGGCGGUCUGGUAAGUCAAAGGUGAAAUCCCUCGGCUCAACUGAGGAAUUGCCUUUAAAACUGCAUCGCUAGAAUUGUGGAGAGGUAAGUGGAAUUCCGAGUGUAGAGGUGAAAUUCGUAGAGAUUGGGAAGAACACCAGUGGCGAAGGCGGCUAUCUGGACGGUUACUGACGCUAAGACGCGAAAGCGUGGGGAGCAAACAGG